UACGGAGGGGGCUAGCGUUGUUCGGAAUUACUGGGCGUAAAGCGCGCGUAGGCGGCUUUGUAAGUCAGAGGUGAAAGCCUGGAGCUCAACUCCAGAACUGCCUUUGAGACUGCAUCGCUUGAAUCCAGGAGAGGUGAGUGGAAUUCCGAGUGUAGAGGUGAAAUUCGUAGAGAUCGGGAGGAACACCAGUGGCGAAGGCGGCUCGCUGGGCCGGACCUGACGCUGAGGCGCGAAGGCGUGGGGAGCGAACGGG
rnacentral:rRNA from 1 species